UACGUAGGGUGCGAGCGUUGUCCGGAAUUAUUGGGCGUAAAGGGCGCGUAGGCGGGCCGAAAAGUCAGGGGUGAAAUCCUCCAGCCCAACUGGAGAAGCGCCUUUGGUACUGUCGGCCUCGAGGGGUGCAGGGGCAUGCGGAACCCAGGGUGGAGCGGUGAAAUGCGUAGAUAUCCUGAGGAACACCGGUGGCGAAAGCGGCGUGCUGGACACCUUCUGACGCUGAGGCGCGAAAGCCAGGGGAGCGAACGGG
rnacentral:rRNA from 1 species